rnacentral:rRNA from 1 species
UACGGGGGGGGGCAAGCGUUGUUCGGAAUUACUGGGCGUAAAGGGCUCGUAGGUGGCCAACUAAGUCAGACGUGAAAUCCCCUCGGCUUAACCGGGGGAACUGCAUCUGAUGCUGGAUGGCUUGAGAUUGGGAGAGGGAUGCGGAAUUCCAGGUGUAGCGGUGAAAUGCGUAGAUAUCUGGAGGAACACCGGUGGCGAAGGCGGCAUCCUGGACCAACACUGACGCUGAGGUGCGAAAGCGUGGGGGAGCAAACAGG